UCAGCCCACUUGGAGCUCUGCCACGAGCAGCUGGACAGAAAACGACUGAUGCAGCCGUAGAGCAACAUCUAAUAAAGAAAUUCCCUUUAUUUCAGGGUUGUAAUUAAGCCAUACUUUGUCACACUGCUACUGGCUGAGGCAGGAAGGCUACUGACGAGUUGUACCAGUAGAAACAGCAGAAGGGAUGAGGUUGUUAUUCCACUUCAGACCAGUCCACGUUGGCUUGAGUCAACCUCAGACCAGUUUAACCUAGCUUUUUGGUUGCCUGCUUCUACUGCCCGGCAGGUAUCCUGGAUAAAAGGGCUGCUUGCAUCACUCAGAUGCAGAGGAGGGUGCUCUCUCUCUAGCCUUUAGCAGGAAGGUGUUGCACAGGCUGCAGUUUUCCAGGGGCUCUGGGUGCAAGGGAGGGGGCCACUGCCCCAACAACAAGAAGUGCAAGACUCCACUGCCAAAUGUGCCACCUCUGAGCAGCUUCUCAGGCCUGCUGCUCCCACUGUCCCAGCAGACAAGUUAGUGUGGUUUUCAUCGUACAGGGACACAAAACACCCCGUACGUGCAGUUAAAGCAAAAGAUGUAAGUGCUUUUCAGGUUAGUGUCCACCUCCUGCAAGUCAGUGGGCCACUCAGUUUAACCAGUUCCCAGGUGGGCAAGGAGGGAAACAAGGCAAAAGAUGAUGUGGCAUACAAACAAGGCACCGCAUCAAGAACAGGGGCUCUGCAUCCUGAGAUGAGGACAGUCCUUCCCAGCAGGCAGAGCAGAGACAUGCUCAGAAGAUCCUGACAGCAAAACACAGCAGGCUUCUAGCUCUCUCCUGCGCUCCCUGCCAGCUCCCUCAGCUUCCUCCAGUUCUGCUCAGCUUUUGGCAGCAGCACAGCUUACCUGCUCGACUGGAAGAAACAGGGAACCAACUCCCAGCCCCAACAGGCACAUCUGAAAGGCCUGCAGACAGACGGGGUAGCCUGACACCACAACCCCCACCACAGCCGCCUCCCCCUGGCCUAGCAACACCCGGACAGGGGGCCGCGCCGAGCAGCAAGGCUCCCCUACAGGCCACACACUACUAGACCCGAAGCGAGCCCCAUAGUCUACCCAGCUCAAAGCCAAGCAGGGGCAGGGGGAACACCUCCACACAGUUCCCCUCUCUGCCUGAGAGGGGCCCAGGGCCGCCCCGCGGGCUCCCACCGGCGGCAGGCCCCGCUCUCACCGCGCAGGCGCAACAGCCCAACCCGCGCGGCGUAAAUAGCACCCGGGCUUUUAUAGGGCCCUUCCCGGC
rnacentral:lncRNA from 1 species